CCGCCCGUCACACCAUGAAAGUCGGCUGUACCAGAAGUCGCUGCGCUAACCGCAAGGAAGCAGGCGCCCAAGGUAUGGUCGAUGAUUGGGGUG
rnacentral:rRNA from 1 species